rnacentral:lncRNA from 1 species
AGGAGCGAGAUGUGCAGAUCACUUUAUGCUCAUUCGCCGCUGAACGCCACCAUUGAUAAUAAUCACCAUAAUUCUGAAUGUGAUUACUGUGAGGUGUACUUCAUAUCUGAACAAACAAAUGCCUUUCAUCAGGUACAUUUAACAUUUGAGUGUCCAAGAUGUGAGAGACUUUUCAUCGCAAAUGCGCGUAUGGUACAGCUUAUUGACGAUAAAGAUUAUUUUGAAUGUGAUUACUGUUUUGACGAUUACUUCAUAUCUGCUGAAGAAAGACAAAAACUAGAUAAAGAGUUAGAUGAAAUAAUUUAUUGUCUACUUUGUGAUAGACGUUUGGAGACACCUAUGAAUAGGGAGCAGCAUUUUGUUGACAUGCAUCAUUUUAAAUGCAAUUACUGUGACGAAUAUUUCACAUCUACUGAGGAAUAGUGAGGAAAGAGAUGAUCAUGAUAGAGAGAAACAUUCAACAAUUGGGUGUCCAUAUUGCGAUAGAUUUUUCAGACAAAAUGAGCACUUGGAGCAGCAUAUUGACGACGAACAUUUUGAAUAUGAUUACUGUGAGGAUCCUGUUAUACCUUCUGCUAAAAAAAGAAACUUCCAUGAUAGAAAAAACCAUCUAAAAUUUAAGUGUUCACAUUGUGAUAGACAUUUCAGAGCAAAUGAGCAUAUGCAGCAGCAUAUGUUAGCCAAACAUUAAUAAUUAUCGAAUGUAGGUAUACACCUAUUUUACACCUUACAGUUUAUCUAUAUAUUUAGCAGAUAUAUUAUAUCAUACAGUGAUGAGCGCGCUAAUAACACAAGAAUCUACAGGUCGAGCAAGUCUCGUAAAUUUCACGAUUGCGAGCCACGCUUCACGCAACCGUGUUUGCGUACUUGUGUUUCGAGUUGCGUGGUCGUGCGGAGUUAUAUUUACCAAAUUUAAAUAUAAUCGUUUCUACUGAUUCAUAAUAAUAAUCAAAAUUAAAUCAAUAUGUCAAUAUGGCUACUGGGUGUAAAAGAUAAAUCUUAUUCUAUCUGUUCUUAAUGAGUUUUAGAUAAUUUUAGUUGUAUUUCUUUGUAAUUUUGUGUUGUACAAAGAUUAAUUUAACAUUUUCUGUGGAAGUAUUAAUUUAGAAAGAUAAUAUGCUUCAUUGGUGUUGUGUUUUGAAGUGUGAAAUGCAAAGUAAUUGUGAUAAAGUUCACUUUUAAACUGAACUAAAUAAGGUAUCUGAGAGACAACAAUGGUUAAAUGCAAUACAAUGUACAGGUUUUACUAGCGAAAUGAAAAUUUUCCUGGCCUGUCUGCUGUAAUCAUUUUAUAUCUGGAAAACCAGCCGACUUAAUCGAUAAUAACAAUCUCCAGAUUAGGUUCCUUCAAUAAAUAUGGGCUAUUAACACAAUGAAAUAAGUUCCAGAAAAUCUAAAAUGGAGUGGUAUCAAAGGAGAAUUAAAGGAAAAAAUAUUCAUAUUGAAAUUAUUUAUAAGGCACUGGACUGUCUUAAAUUCUACAAUAAUACUAGAAUCAGCUGAGAGAAGUGGUCUACAAAAAACCAGGAAGGAAACGGAAUAUGUGGCUACGAAAGGCAAAAGAAAGGUUUACAAAGCAAAUGUGACACAUUUUUUUGAAAUAUUUAGGAAUAUCAGUAAAUUGCAUUAAAAAAUGUAUGAAAAGAUUUUGUUCAAUAAAAAUGUUUAUAUUUA